AAAGAAGUCAAACAUGCUAUCUCAAAAAAUUGUUGAAACAAAAGAAAAACAAAAUUAGUAACUGUUGAUUUUUAAUAAGAGUAACCAUAGUUCGACUUGGUAGAAAACAUGGAAGUAGCUUUCGAAAACGUCCAGUUCCAAGAAAUAGUGACAGUUGAAAAUAUGUAGAAAUUUACUGAAUUUAACGUGACUAAGAAUAGCUUCUUUUUCACAUCAUCAAUGAUAAAAUGACAAAGUGGAAUAACGAUUGUUAUGUGGCACUUGUUCUGAAGAGAAAAUAGAACAUUGAAUUAGGAUCUACAGCCACCAUCCUAAAAAAAUUUAAAAACUUUAUAAAAAUUUUAAAUAAUUGCCUUGUAAUUUAGUGUAUAAGAAAACUACAGUUUUAUCAAAUGGCCUGAUCCAAAUACUCAGACUACUGGGAAAGUGCACUAGUAUCUAGCUUCAGCCAAGCAAUUCAAAGAUUCAACUAUAUUCAACAAUAAAGUGUAAAAUAAGAACAUAUGUCAGAUAGCCGAGCGCUAAGCUCAAAGAUGGUGCUGAAUUGCAAAAAUAAAUUAACUGAAUUGGGUAUGCAAAAUAAAGUUACUCUGCAGGGUCCCAGGACAUGUAGGAGUAGAGGGAAACACUUAUAUGGAAGAGGCUGUUAUACCGUUGAAAGGUUCUGAGGCUUUCUAUGACGGAUUCGCACAAUCAAUGAAUAUCUAUAUAAAAAGACAGACUUAAAAUAUAACAGUGAAACUAACUCAUUGGACACAGACAAUCUACCUCUUAGCGAGUUUCGGAAGGACAAAAACAACAUAAUGCAACAAAGGAAUCAGGACAAAUCUACGACUCAUAAAAGGAUUCUUAACUUUGAAAAAGAAUGGUACAAUCCAGCAUAAGCAGUUUGUGCAAGGAAGCGGAGGAAAUAUCAACGCACCUACUAACAAACUGUGUCGGUACACUUGCCCGCAGGAAAAAAUGCUUUGGGACAUAUAACGUAACUGCAGAAGAAAUUCAACCCUUGAAACCGGGCCUCCUAAUCAAAUUUCUUGAUGUACGAGGACUAACCGGUGUGCUCUGUGACAGAACGGGGGAUACUAUAGCUCUCAAAGGAUUAAAUCUUACAACACUUAUAUCAAAUGGUCACUACUCCCUAUCACUAGGCUGGUUACAAAGUUCAUCAUUCUUCCAUGGCCCUUUUCUAUCAUAUCAAUCAAGGAAACAAAUACUUUUCAGUUACAUUGUAUAUGUUAUAAUAUCGAAGCUUUUUCACGACGUAGUCAUGUGAAUGUUUCUAUCCCAUUUUUUGAGGUGAUUAAAAGUGCAAUGGCUUUGCUUGACUCUUUAAAGUCUUAUUAUUUUCCCUGCUGAAAUAAAUGUAGAUUUUUCUUUUCCUAGCUGGACAGGUGUAGAUCUUUGUUUUCCACCCAAUGAAUUUCCCUGUAUGUGGUCCUUUUGUUCUCCAUCCAUUUGUUCCGACUUUAGCAUAUUUUGGGGCAUGCCAAUUUGCAGUUCUGGUUCAAAGGUUAUGAGAGCUAAUCCUAUUUUUUUCUAGUUUAUCACCUUAUCUUUUUUUAAGCUCCUUGUGUCGUGGCACCCACAUCAGAGUUUGUAUUUCGUUUCCCCAGUAAUUGGAGAUGUCUUUGACAUUUCCAGACUUUUCAGUUAAAUGUAGAGGCCUCUAAAGACAUCAGUUCUUGGCUGUCUGAGAAUAUAUCUAUGACCCUUUUAAUACCUUUUUAAGUAUUUCUUAUGCCCAGAGUUAUAUUGCAUGUAUUUCAUCUUGGACAAUUCAUGGUGUGGGCCAAGAGGUUUCUCUUCAGGAUUUUAUUUCUCCAAACUUGUCAUUUAUAUUUAUAUUUUGAAAGCCUGCCUAUUUGUCUUUUAAUUUCAUUUUGCCUGGCAUUUUUAGAUUAAUUUUUUCAUUAUGAUGGCUUUCUCUUAAUUUUCACUUUUUUAAGCUAUCCUCUGUAUCUAAGCAAGUAUUGCAGUCUCAGAAAAGUGCUGAAAUUGGGCACGUUAGCGUUGCACCUGUAAUGUUGAGACUUUUUUACAUUUAGGUUUUUACAAACUUUAUGGCCAUCAUAUGUGACCAGAGGUAGAGCCAGUAAGCUAUUUUUAGAUUUAUACCACAGAACUUUUACUACAAAAUCACACAAACACUUUUGUUCUUCAUCUUGUUUGUUUGAAUGUCUCUUCAAGAUGAGCUUAGAGAAGAGAAAGAGAGAGGGAGAGAGAGAGAGGGAGGCAGAGAGAGCAUAUUAUCUGUGCGUUGAUAUUCUUCGUAGUUUAAAAUGGAUAAAUUCCAAAUUGGCUUUUGGCACAGAAAAAAUAUAUAAUAGAAAGGAUACUUUAAAAUUGAACGAUAAUCACCCUUACACAUCAUAGAGCUGACAUCACCAUCUCUAAAAAAGGUUUAAACAGAACGAAAAAAUCAAGUUUAACAAUAUUUUAUGUUUAAUAAUUGUGACAAUAUUUCGAGCUUAAAGAAAACAUGGAGGUAGAGUUCGAAAGCAAACAUAGACUCGCCUAUCUCAAUAUAUCUACGUUGGUCCACAUUGGUGGUUUGUUGAACUUUUCCGCAGCCACAAGCCUUCGCAUUUAUCACGAUAUUUCCAACCCGCACAAGGAUUUGUACCUAAAAUUUGGUUACUCCUUUAAAUAUGUUUCAACGCAGAAUGCAGUAGUCCAGUCGAUAUAUUUCCUUAUAGCUCUCAUAGUUGAUAUUAUGAUAAGUUGUUCGUAUACUAUGGACGCUCCUCCCAGAUGGCUGAUGGUGAGAUCUUUCUACAGAUCGGCGAUAGCUAUACCAUAUGGAUCAUAUACGUGUGUAACGUUUUGGAUAUUCAUUUGGUACGAUGUAGGGUUGAUGGCGGAUUCCGGUCCGAAAUGGACGCGUCACAUAAUUUAUACGUCAAACACACUUUUUUUACUGCUUGAUGUGAUCUUUUGCAAGGGGGAAUCUGUCCGCAUUGGCACCGCUCUGAUUGUGAUGCACAUUCCAUGUACACUUUACUUCAUAUGGCUGCACAUCCUUUAUCACUUCACUGGAGUGUGGGCUGUUUCUGUUUUGAAACAUCUUACGCUCGUGGAGAGGUUGAUAUUAUACGUUUUUAACGUACUAGAAGUUUACUUGAGCUUUGUGAUUGGGAAGAUCCUAAACGACUUUCUGUGGGAUGAAAAUUUUGUCAGUCGCAUCCCGAUAUUCCGCAAUUUUGUCACAGCGCCUCCUCGUUUCAUUUUCGGACAGCCGUCUACAGAAUCUGCCAAAUUCAGACAAUUCUUGAGUCGUACCGAAAGCCUGCUUGUGGACAGACCACGUAAAAAGAAGAAAAAAGAAACCAACCGAACGCCAGUAGAACCUUAGAAUGGUGAGAUUUGGACUCAUGUUGAAAUUUCAUUCAAUCAGCAACUACGAAAUGCUUAAUCGGAUCGAUUGAAUACGUAUUACUUUUAAUGAGGAAGAAAUUAUCUGCCGAUGAACUCUAAAACGAAUAUAAGCCAUUAAAUAAUCGUAUUCUAGUUUUUGUAAUUGCGUAAUAAUAAAUUAUAUAUAGAUAUUGCAGAACACUUCUCCCGCUUGCCCCGUCAGAAAGGGUGCGUCAACAUGUAUAUACCCGAUCGUGUGCCGCAUGGCUGUUGGAAAACGUUCCACUUGGUGCUGAAAUGCAUCACGUGAUUAACCGUGCAAUACUAUCUACAUAGAGAUCAACUCUAUCCCCCUGGGUGUAGGGGCCCCACUGGCGUCGGAACUACCUGAUCCGCUCCUAGCGAGGUUUUGUUUACAGUGGAAUUUCUAACCACCCCUUAAAGGAACACUGCCGUCGGUAAAGCCACCACAGAACAUAAGGCUCUUCUCUAAGUACACACCAAGGGUCUCACCUCCGAUCCCAUUCUCACGAACGCGCUGCUGGGCUUGGAACUUGGAACACUCUUGCGCUACAGGAUCUGAAACCAUAACCCCUCUGUGCAGCUGACCCGGCACCCGCCGUCCGCGGCUGACUCCCUAUCAUCCGAAUGGUGAAUGUGAAUACCGUACGUUACCCAGAAGAUCAUGGGGGACUUUAGGAUAAGCAGGCCAAACUCGAUGAAAUGCUUGCAGAAGACAAAGACGGACAUCCACGCAAUACUGCUUUUGCUCGAAGUACGGGGCAAUAACGUCUACAACACGGCGCCAUAGAACUGUAGAGAGUUGGUGUCGGAAGCCCCAACUGAUGAGGGAUUAAAUGAAGGGAAUCAGGGUUUGGAUACUGUCGGUGCAUGAGGAGUUUUUCAAAGAUUGGUCUAUAUGAAGAGCAAUGGCUUUUUUGGUUUCAGGAGCAUGAUAAUGGAGGCCAAUUUUUAUCAGAUUAGGGGGUAUGUGGUUCUUAAGACGAAGUUUCACAGUUGGCUAAGGAAUCAAGGGCACAUUUAGGAAUGUGGCAGAUAAUAUUUUAUAUAUGAUUGAAAAUAUUUUUGUGAUGUAGUCUGUUGGUUGGAAUUUUGCCAAUGCUAACAACAAUGCUAAGUAUCAGGUGAUAUUUAGACGGUACGUGAACGUUUAGUAAAUUAUUAAGAUUGUUGAAUUCCAAAUUAAAGUUUGGCACAGUAGGACUAGGUAUUACAAAGGAAAUGAAAAACUGAACUUUUUUAGAAUUGAAGAUUAAUCGCCUCUCACAUAACCAAGAGCUCGCCAUUCAAAAAACAAAAGCAAAAUUGGAAAACAUAUUAUAUUUAAUAAACAUAUUCCGUAACUACAUAAAACAUGGAGAUAGAUUUCGAAAGAAAACACCGACUUGUCUAUCUCACUUUUUCUAUCAUCGUCCACACUGUUGGUUUCCUUACCUUUUCCGCCGGAGUAUGUUUUCGCUUGUAUCACGAUGUUACCGAGGACGACCAGGAUUUCUACAUGAAAUUUGCUUAUUCCUUCAAAUAUGUCAGUAUGUUGAAUGCAGUAAUCCAGUUGUUAUAUUUCUUUUUUGCUCUCACCGUUGAUAUUAUGACAAAUUGUUCGUAUACUUUGGACGCUCCUGCAGGAUGGUUGAAGGCGAGGUCUUUCAUCAGAUCUGCGAUUGCUAUACCGCUUGGGCUGUAUACCUGUGUGACGUUUUGGGUAUUAACUUGGUUCAAUAUAGCAAUGCUGGGAGACGUUGGUUCGAAUUGGAUGCGUCAUAUUCUCUUCACGUCCAAUCCCAUUAUUUUACUAUUCGAUGUUGUCUUUUGUGCUGGGGAAUCUUCCAAAUUUGUCAUCGCACUAAUUGUGAUAAAUACAGAGUGGACAUUUUACUUCAUAUGGCUACAUAUAAUUCAUUACGCCACUGACGUGUGGCCGAUUCCUUUCUUUAAAACUCGUUCGCUCGUGAUAAGAUUGCUAUUAUACGUUGUAGCCGUACUCGAAGAAUUCGCGCUAUUUGUCAUUGGGAAACUCUUAAAUGAUGUUUUGUGGAGUGACGAGUUCGUCGCUCGAAUCCCGUUUUUACGCAGCUAUGUCUCAGCACCUCCUCGUUUCAUAUAUGGAAAUCCGUCUACAGAUUCUGUCAAAUAUGGGAAAGUUUUGAGUGGAACCGAGAGCAUGUUUGUGGACCGACCAGUUAAAAAGAAGAAAACUCUACCCAAAAGAAAUAAAUAAAAACGUGACAUUACGUCCAGAAUUAUAUUGACAGCUCGAAUUCAAAAAACUCAUUUUCACACUAACAAAAGAUCAGAGAAGAAAAAUGACAAAGUCGAAGAAAGGAAUGUCCAAAACCACCAUUAAAAAAAUUAAAAAAUAAAUAAUUUAAGGUAA